UACGUAGGUGGCGAGCGUUAUCCGGAAUGAUUGGGCGUAAAGGGUGCGCAGGCGGUUGUAUAAGUCUGAAGUAAAAGCCAUCGGCUCAACCGAUGUAAGCUUUGGAAACUGUGUAACUAGAGUGCAGGAGAGGGCAGUGGAAUUCCAUGUGUAGCGGUAAAAUGCGUAGAUAUAUGGAGGAACACCAGUGGCGAAGGCGGCUGCCUGGCCUGUAACUGACGCUGAGGCACGAAAGCGUGGGGAGCAAAUAG
rnacentral:rRNA from 1 species